rnacentral:lncRNA from 1 species
UCUUGAAUCUUAACAGAAUCGGCUCAUUUAAGAUGUGUUAGGAGAAAGGCAGAGUGGUGUGGAUGCUAAGGUCAUUGGAGGAUCCUCGACCAUCCACUUGAAGUUAGAUGAGUUGGCGGUCAAUUUCUUUAAAUUUGCACUCAUAGUCGUCGAGCCACCAUUACUGUGAGAUCCAAGGGUAGAGUCCCCUGAAGAACUCAAGGAUUGGAAAGUCAAGGGCACGUGCAGCCUCUUUCCCUUCU